AGUCGAACGGAGCUGCUUUGAUGAAGUUUUCGGAUGGAUUUAAAACAGCUUAGUGGCGGGCGGGUGAGUAACGCGUGGGUAACCUGCCUCACACUGGGGGAUAACAGUUAGAAAUAGCUGCUAAUACCGCAUAAGCGCACGGUUCCGCAUGGAACAGUGUGAAAAACUCCGGUGGUGUGAGAUGGACCCGCGUCUGAUUAGCCAGUUGGCGGGGUAACGGCCCACCAAAGCGACGAUCAGUAGCCGGCCUGAGAGGGUGAACGGCCACAUUGGGACUGAGACACGGCCCAAACUCCUACGGGAGGCAGCAGUGGGGAAUAUUGCACAAUGGGGGAAACCCUGAUGCAGCGACGCCGCGUGAGUGAAGAAGUAUUUCGGUAUGUAAAGCUCUAUCAGCAGGGAAGAAAGUGACGGUACCUGAAUAAGGAGCCCCGGCUAACUACGUGCCAGCAGCCGCGGUAAUACGUAGGGGGCAAGCGUUAUCCGGAUUUACUGGGUGUAAAGGGAGCGUAGACGGCAAGGCAAGUCUGAAGUGAAAGCCCGGUGCUUAACGCCGGGACUGCUUUGGAAACUGUUUGGCUGGAGUGCCGGAGAGGUAAGCGGAAUUCCUAGUGUAGCGGUGAAAUGCGUAGAUAUUAGGAAGAACACCAGUGGCGAAGGCGGCUUACUGGACGGUAACUGACGUUGAGGCUCGAAAGCGUGGGGAGCAAACAGGAUUAGAUACCCUGGUAGUCCACGCCGUAAACGAUGAUUGCUAGGUGUAGGUGGGUAUGGACCCAUCGGUGCCGCAGCUA
rnacentral:rRNA from 1 species